rnacentral:rRNA from 1 species
UACGUAGGGUGCAAGCGUUAAUCGGAAUUAUUGGGCGUAAAGAGCUCGUAGGCGGUGUGUCGCGUCGGCCGUGAAAACCUGCAGCUUAACUGUGGGCUUGCGGUCGAUACGGGCAUGACUGGAGUUCGGCAGGGGAGACUGGAGUUCCUGGUGUAGCGGUGAAAUGCGCAGAUAUCAGGAGGAACACCGGUGGCGAAGGCGGGUCUCUGGGCCGAUACUGACGCUGAGGAGCGAAAGCGUGGGGAGCGAACAGG